UGCAAGUCGAGCGCGACGUCACCUUCGGGUGGCUAGUAGAGCGGCGAACGGGUGCGUAACACGUGAGUAAUCUGCCUUAGGGUUGGGGAUAACCAUUCGAAAGGGUGGCUAAUACCGAAUACGUCCUCCUGGUCGAUAGGGCCGGGCGGAGAAAGGGGGGCUUCGGCCUCUCGCCCUCUGAUGAGCUCGCGGCCCAUUAGCUUGUUGGUGAGGUAAUGGCUCACCAAGGCUGAGAUGGGUAGCUGGUCUGAGAGGAUGAUCAGCCACACUGGGACUGAGAUACGGCCCAGACUCCUACGGGAGGCAGCAGUGGGGAAUAUUGCGCAAUGGACGAAAGUCUGACGCAGCAACGCCGCGUGGGUGACGAAGGCCCUUGGGUCGUAAAGCCCUGUCAGGAGGGAAGAACUUGCUGGUGGUUAAUACCCAUCGGUACUGACGGUACCUCCAAAGGAAGCACCGGCUAACUCCGUG
rnacentral:rRNA from 1 species